GGUUCAGACCCAGAAUGUCAAGACCAAUUGCCAUUGAAUCUGUGCUUAGUGAUAUCUGAAGUUGUGUGCAACACUCCUGCUGGACCUGUUCUUUUCCUUGAUAAUGAAGCAAGGCAAACAGUGCAAAGUAAGUUACCUCACUCCCUGAGAGAGAAGGCAGAGUGUGUGAGCAUCAAGAUAAAUGAGUCAUUAAACUUCACCCAGCUUAUUGUUCAUCACUUGAGAAAUCUCCAAAAGUUUUAACCAAACCACAACAAAGAAUGUCUUUCAAGGGUUCAUCUGUGGGAGGCUGACAGGUGGAAGAUGAUGAACUCAGCAGAUCUGUUAUCCUCCAGAGGACAGAGGAGAUCUGAUCCCAUAUGGACGCCAGUUCUAAUCCCAGCAGUCCCA